GCUGCAACUCGCCUACAUGAAGUCGGAAUUGCUAGUAAUGGCAGGUCAGCAUACUGCCGUGAAUACGUUCCCGGGCCUUGUACACACCGCCCGUCACACCAUGAGAGUUGGAGAUACCCGAAGCCUGUGAGCUAACUUUUAGAGGCAGCAGUCGAAGGUAGAAUCAAUGAUUGGGGUGAAGUCGUAACAAGGUAAC
rnacentral:rRNA from 1 species